rnacentral:rRNA from 1 species
CCUACGGGAGGCAGCAGUGGGGAAUCUUGCGCAAUGGGCGAAAGCCUGACGCAGCCAUGCCGCGUGAAUGAUGAAGGUCUUAGGAUUGUAAAAUUCUUUCACCGGGGACGAUAAUGACGGUACCCGGAGAAGAAGCCCCGGCUAACUUCGUGCCAGCAGCCGCGGUAAUACGAAGGGGGCUAGCGUUGCUCGGAAUUACUGGGCGUAAAGGGAGCGUAGGCGGACAUUUAAGUCAGGGGUGAAAUCCCAGAGCUCAACUCUGGAACUGCCUUUGGUACUGGGUGUCUUGAGUAUGAUAGAGGUAUGUGGAACUCCGAGUGUAGAGGUGAAAUUCGUAGAUAUUCGGAAGAACACCAGUGGCGAAGGCGACAUACUGGAUCAUUACUGACGCUGAGGCUCGAAAGCGUGGGGAGCAAACAGGAUUAGAUACCCUGGUAGUCCACGCCGUAAACGAUGAUUGCUAGUUGUUGGGAUGUUUACAUCUCGGUGACGCAGCUACGACAUAAGUACAACUACCGUCCGUCGGGUAGGUACGGGUCGGCGAAGAAGUUAAAACGUUAACGUAAAGGUAAAGUUAGUUACGGCGUGAGACGUGCCGACGGACGACGACGAGGGAGGAGG